GAGCGCAACCCCUACUCUUAGUUGCCAUCAGAUAAUGCUGGGGACUCUAGGAGAACUGCCUACGCAAGUAGAGAGGAAGGUGGGGAUGACGUCAAAUCAUCACGGCCCUUACGUCCUGGGCUACACACGUGCUACAAUGGCCGGUACAGAGAGCAGCCACCUGGUGACAGGGAGCGAAUCUCUAAAGCCGGUCUCAGUUCGGAUCGAAGUCUGCAACUCGACUUCGUGAAGCUGGAAUCGCUAGUAAUCGCGCAUCAGCCAUGGCGCGGUGAAUACGUUCCCGGGCCUUGUACACACCGCCCGUCAAGCCAUGGAAGCUGGGGGUACCUGAAGUCGGUGACCAUUUAGGAGCCGCCUAGGGUAAAACUAGUGACUGGGGCUAAGUCGUAACAAGGUAGCCGUACCGGAAGGUGCGGCUGGAAUACCUCCUUUCUGGA
rnacentral:rRNA from 1 species